rnacentral:rRNA from 1 species
UGCCUACACAUGCAAGUCGAACGGUAACGCAAGGAAGCUUGCUUCUUGGCGACGAGUGGCGGACGGGUGAGUAAUGCUUAGGAAUCUGCCCAGUAGUGGGGGACAACUCGGGGAAACUCGAGCUAAUACCGCAUACGCCCUAAGGGGGAAAGUGGAGGAUCUUCGGACUUCACGCUAUUGGAUGAGCCUAAGUCGGAUUAGCUUGUUGGUGAGGUAAAGCUCACCAAGGCGACGAUCCGUAGCUGGUCUGAGAGGACGAUCAGCCACACUGGGACUGAGCCACGGCCCA